GAAGCCUUGGUUUAAACAUGCAUUCAUUCACAAAUAUUUUCUGAAGACCUUCUCUGUAUUUUUGUGGAAACGUAAUUGACGUAUAAUCGUUUGUAGGUUUAAGAUGUACAAUGUGUUGCUUUGAUACAUUUUUAAAUUGCAGUGUGAUUAGCACUUUGGCAGUUAACACGGCUGUCAUGUCACACAUUUGUUAUUUCUUGUGAGAACAAUUAAGAUUUAGUCUCUUAGCAACUUCGACGUAUGUAGCACAGUAUUGCUGGCCGUGUUUACUGUGCUGUGUGUUAGAUCUGCGGAACUUGUUUAUGUACUCGUUUCAUUUUCUACCCUUAAACAAUUCCUGCCCGGUUUCCCCACUCUGCAGCCCCUGGUGAUCACCACUCCAGGUUUUAUGAGUUCUGCAUUUUCAGAUUCCACGUAUAAGUGAUACCAUGCAGUAUUUGCUUUUCUUUGCCUGCCUUAUCUCACUCAGCAUAAAACUCUCAAGGUCCAUCCAUGUUGUUACAAUGGCAGGAUUUCCUUCUUUCUGAUAGCAGAUAAUAUUCCAUUGUUUGUGUGUGUGUUAACAUUAUCUAUGUUUAAUAUUUUAUGCUCCUUUUUUCUUACCCUGUUACUCUGUGCAGAAUUUAUUUUUUUCUUUCUCUCUCUCCUUUCCUUUCUCUCUCCAUAUAUUUGCUUUAUAUGCAAAAAUAUAUUACUUUUGCCAUUGGAUGGCAAACAUAUGUGGUUCUUAAAGGUCUCGUUUCCUCAUUAAGUGAUUUUAUCCCUGAUAUUUUUCUAACAAAGAGCUAUGAGUGUCUGUUUAAAUUUAAAUAUUAUUGGAAGGAAGCGAAUGGAAUAUUUUCGAUAUAGUAUGUUUUAUUGUUUACUAGGGAGAAAGAAACAUAGAAUGCAUAGUUUAGUGUGAUGGCACAUGAUAUUUAUAGUUACCACUAGAGAAGGAGCAUGUGGGGUUGAAUCGACAUCUGCUUUUAUUUCAUUGUUUAUGGAACAGUAAAGGGUUUUCUGGGAUAGUCUUUCUGACAGAGACAUGAGACUACAGAGAAUUAAAGAUUUGUGCAUUGUGAUUUGGCUUUAAUAUUUAAUAACUAUAGAUGAUCAAAAAGCUAAAGUACAAAAAAAAAACACCACAUGACUUGGCAAACGCAUCUAGAACAGUGGUUAAAACCACCCAGCGCUGGGUCAGACACUACCUGCAGAAAAGACUCCUCCUGAAAAGUAAAUAUGAGCAUUCCUAUCCAUGUUUGCCUGGAGCAAUCUGCUCCAUCGUAACUCCUGUCACAGUCAUUGUGGGGAAAGUUCAAAGCCUUGUUGUACAUUGUGUUCAGAACCACCGCAGUAGCUGUUUCUUGAUAAUGGGAUUAUCUAUGCACAAGAAACAGGUCAUGGUCAGAAGACAGAUUUCAUCAGAAUGCAGAGAAUUGCUUACAGAUCUUCACGACCUUUGCUUACAAUAAAGGAAAAGAUUUUCAUUUUCCAACUCUCAAUAUUCCUCCUCAUAUUUUAAUAUCACAUUAGUUAUUUUAAAGUGUGUGUGUGUGUGUGUGCACGCACACGCACGCACACACAAACAUGUUGUGCCACUUGGUCCAAAGCAACACUGAGAGGAUUUCACUUAGCCCAAACUCUGUUUUGGCCUGCAUUUGCUGCCUUUGCCAAACUGCCAUAUGGUUACCAUGUCAUCCCUCGUCAGCUCUCUCUUAUGUGAUUAAGAAAGAACACUUCUUUGGGCAAGAUGCUAGGUGCAGCUGUUAAUAGGAACCAAGGAUUUCCUCUUGGUACUUGGAACAAAAUGAUUAUCAUUAGCAGCAACUUGAAAAUAGAAAAUUGAAAACUCUGCUCAUAGAAUACAUAAAAAUGUAUGUCUAUAUGCUAAUGCAAAUUGAAAAAGAACACCAAAGUUUAUGCUGAGUUCUUAAAAAAAAGAUCAAAUAAUCUAAUGAGAAUCAAGUGUUAUGUCUAAAAAUAUUUAAGGACUGUUUCUUUGCCUGUAAUUUCUAGUUUUAACUUGAACUAGUUGAUUGAGCAAUUAUUUAUGUUCAUAACUUAUUAAGCUGCUGUACUGUUUAUAGAGAAAGAGAAUGUGGUUGGCCAAGCCCUCCCAGUGUAGGGCUCUUGAGAAAACUAUUGCCAGAUGCUGCUUAGAGUAGAUUAGAUGAAGUCUCUUUUUCAAUGUGUUUCUGCCUAUUCUGUAACUGCAUCAUUACAAUCUAAGCAUGUGUGCGUGUAAACCUGCUGUGAAACCUAACCAUCAAAUGAGAUAGGGGUAAGAAAGAGGUGAUUUGCCCCCAGUGCCUAAUGCCAAGUUGUCCUGGACUGCUUGCCCUUCGUGGCCAAGGAUCAUUUAAUCCAUGGACAAGAGAGUAAAGUAGAGGAGGUAGCAAGAGGAAGUGGGGAGGCUAGAGAGAGAGGCACUUCUUUUACCACACUAGCAGUUUGUGAAGGACAUGGUGGAAAGGACAAGAGGGCUUAUCUUUAACUGCUCGUUAGCUCCCAGUGAUUGUACUCGCUUAUGAAAAGCAUCCCAGCAACAUCAUAGAUUCUGGAUAAUCAGACAAAUCCGAUCUGAGGAAGGAACUGAUCAAGAGUCAGGAACAGAGGCUGAUAAUAUUUCUUCCAGCAGUCUCUUCUAGUGAAAAGUGGAAACUCUGUCAUUAUUAAAAAGUGGAAACAGGGGUUCUCAUUGUGGCUCAGUGGGUUAAGGACUUGAUGUCUCUGUGAGGAUGCAGGUUCGAUCCCUGGCUUCACUCAGUGGGUUAAGGAUCCAGUAUUGUAGCUGUGGCAUAGGCUGUAGCUCUGAUUGGACCCCCAACCUGGGAACUUCCAUAUGCUACAGGUGCAGCCAUAAAAAGAAAAAAAAAAAAA
rnacentral:lncRNA from 1 species